rnacentral:tRNA from 1 species
GGAGAGAUGGCUGAGUGGUCGAAAGCGACGCUUUGCUAAAGCGUUGUAGGGGUUUCCCCCUACCGAGGGUUCGAAUCCCUCUCUCUCCGCCA